CGGACGGGAGGUUGCCGGAGUUGACGGCCCUGACGGUUGCUGUUGCCUGAAGCAAACAAGACACACAGGAGGUUUCAGAUAAGAAGGAAAGAGAGGGCAGGGAAGAAGAAAGAUAGAGAGAGGGCAGGGCACGACGCUCCCCUGCUAGACCGACGAGGCUGGGCAGCGGUGCUCGCCGGCGACAGUCCGGCGCUUGCACGGGCAUCCACGGUGGCUAGCUCCAGCAGCUAGGGGAGGGAGUCAGAGAGGAGCUCGGGGACGAGCUCGUGCUCAUGCGCGGGAGGCCGGCGCAGGGCUGCUGCAAGUGGAUCAGGAGGGGCUCAAUGGUUGGGGGAUUGGAUCUGGAGUGGAUCCCGAUGAAGACAGUGGCGGCGGACAACGGAUGGAUGGG
rnacentral:lncRNA from 1 species